CUGUGGAGAAGGUGAUGGCAGAAAUAAUGCUGAAGGGCUCUCCUCCACGGGACUCACUGUUCUUACCAAUGUGCCUGCAGAGAACUCCCCACAAGACGCUGGAUCUUACAUAAAAAUUCCCAGAUCAAAACGAGACUUGAAAGAGGAAAUACAAGAAAGAGCAUCUACAUUCAAAUACAAGAGAUUACAAAAAUGCUGCCUGGAUGGAGCCCUUGAAACAGAGGAGAGCUGCUGGGAAAGAGCUGAACGGGUUAGGAUUAGGAUUGGCCCCAGUUGUUCGAAUGCUUUUUCUAUAUGUUGUGACUUGGCAAAUGAACUGCGGGGGAAAAUCAGCCACUCACAAACAACACUAGGAAGAUAU